AUUAGGCAAAUCCGGUACUCGUUAAGGCUGAGCUGUGAUGGGGAGAAGACAUUGUGUCUUCGAGUCGUUGAUUUCACACUGCCGAGAAAAGCCUCUAGAUAGAAAAUAGGUGCCCGUACCGCAAACCGACACAGGUAGUCAAGAUGAGAAUUCUAAGGUGAGCGAGCGAACUCUCGUUAAGGAACUCGGCAAAAUGACCCCGUAACUUCGGGAGAAGGGGUGCUCUUUAGGGUUAACGCCCAGAAGAGCCGCAGUGAAUAGGCCCAAGCGACUGUUUAUCAAAAACACAGGUCUCUGCUAAACCGUAAGGUGAUGUAUAGGGGCUGACGCCUGCCCGGUGCUGGAAGGUUAAGAGGAGUGGUUAGCUUCUGCGAAGCUACGAAUCGAAGCCCCAGUAAACGGCGGCCGUAACUAUAACGGUCCUAAGGUAGCGAAAUUCCUUGUCGGGUAAGUUCCGACCCGCACGAAAGGCGUAACGAUUUGGGCACUGUCUCAACGAGAGACUCGGUGAAAUCAUAGUACCUGUGAAGAUGCAGGUUACCCGCGACAGGACGGAAAGACCCCGUGGAGCUUUACUGUAGCCUGAUAUUGAAAUUCGGCACAGCUUGUACAGGAUAGGUAGGAGCCUUUGAAACGUGAGCGCUAGCUUACGUGGAGGCGCUGGUGGGAUACUACCCUAGCUGUGUUGGCUUUCUAACCCGCACCACUUAUCGUGGUGGGAGACAGUGUCAGGCGGGCAGUUUGACUGGGGCGGUCGCCUCCUAAAA
rnacentral:rRNA from 1 species